rnacentral:rRNA from 1 species
CUAAAGAUAAGCCAUGCAUGUCUAAGUAUAAGCAAUUAUCCGGGAACUGCGAAUGGCUCAUAAAUCAGUAUCGUUAUUGAUAGUACUACUACUGGAUACGUGUAGUCUAGAGCUAAUACAUGCUUAAACCCCGACUCACGGAGGGGUGUAUUUAUUAGAUUAAAAACCAAUGCCCUUCGGGGCUUCUUGGUGAUUCAUAAUAACUUCACGAAUCGCAUGGCCUUGCGCGGGCGAUGGUUCAUUCAAAUUUCUGCCCUAUCAACUUUCGAUGGCAGGGUAUUGGCCUGCCAUGGUUACAACGGGUAACGGAGGGUUAGGGCUCGACCCCGGAGAAGGAGCCUGAGAAACGGCUACUACAUCCAAGGAAGGCAGCAGGCGCGCAAAUUACCCAAUCCCGAUACGGGGAGGUAGUGACAAUAAAUACUGAUACAGGGCUCUUUUGGGUCUUGUAAUUGGAAUGAGUACAAUUUAAAUCCCUUAACGAGGAACAAUUGGAGGGCAAGUCUGGUGCCAGCAGCCGCGGUAAUUCCAGCUCCAAUAGCGUAUAUUAAAGUUGUUGCAGUUAAAAAGCUCGUAGUUGAACCUUGGGCCUGGGCGGCCGGUCCGCCUCACCGCGUGCACUGGUGCGCCCGGGCCUUUCCCUCUGGGGAACCCCAUGCCCUUCACUGGGUGUGGCGGAGAACCAGAACUUUUACUGUGAAAAAAUUAGAGUGUUCAAAGCAGGCCUAUGCUCGAAUACAUUAGCAUGGAAUAAUAGAAUAGGACGUGUGGUUCUAUUUUGUUGGUUUCUAGGACCACCGUAAUGAUUAAUAGGGACAGUCGGGGGCAUCAGUAUUCAAUUGUCAGAGGUGAAAUUCUUGGAUUUAUUGAAGACUAACUACUGCGAAAGCAUUUGCCAAGGAUGUUUUCAUUAAUCAGGAACGAAAGUUAGGGGAUCGAAGACGAUCAGAUACCGUCGUAGUCUUAACCAUAAACUAUGCCGACUAGGGAUCGGACGAUGUUAUUUUUUGACUCGUUCGGCACCUUACGAGAAAUCAAAGUUUUGGGUCUGGGGAGAUUCGCACGCCG